CUCGUUGGUGGAGUUGUCGUUCAGGGCUGAGACGCUCCUCGUUUCUGCCCGGCUACACCACCUGGUGUUGCCCGUGCGGUGACAAGUUUGGUUACGAAGUCAGCUCUCUUUGUCAAAGCAGGCAAGAAGUCGGAAAUCGCCUCAGAGAAGGAACAAUGAAGGGAAUCGGAAAUAUUUGAACUGGAGAAGGGAAUGCGUGAUAAGUCUCUUCAUUGAAGUAUUUUUUUCGCGUGGAAAAUUUUACUACUUCAGAGGACACAUCAAAGAUCAAAGGAUGAAAGUUAAAGCGAUGCAGAAUUUAGCUCAAUAAAGCACAGUAGCAGUUAGAACCCUGAAAAACAGAACAGGGAGAAUUCUGUUUGAGAGCUUGUGGGAAAUUUAAAUUAUCAGCAAGAGGCUGAGUUGUAAUAAGAAGAGGUUCCAUGUUGACAAGUUUCAAAAUCUCAUACAGAAUUUUUAAUUGCAGUGGAUGAUGAGAGGUGACAAGUUCUACAGUGACUGUAAAUCAUUGCACAAUAGUAAGGAAAACAAGGCUAUAUAAAGUAUAUUUUAUUGUA